CUGUCCCUCACAAUUCCAUAACAAUCUAACAUUACAAUCCUAACAAACUCUGUUUCCUUUUGAUACAAAAGCCCCUUCUGAGGGCUAGUUUAAAACAUUUCAAACGUUUUUGGUAGCAGCCUGGGACCACUUAUUACAGGUUUCCAAGUGUUUGAACUGUAUUCAGUAGUUGUUUAAAAAUCGGCCGAAAUGUCCAACAAAAGAAUUUGUCCCCGGAACAAAAAGUGUCAGAAAUAGCGUACAAACACUGGAGAACUAGCAACAAGCAUAGAGUCCAUUAACUGAUGUCAUACAAUUGAACAGAAAGUCAAUGAAACUCGAAACUUUCACAGAUUUCAGAACACCUAGAAAAACAUUUCAAAAGUUACUUCAAGAACUGUUUUUCUUUAGCGGGUACCAGUUACGAAUUUAAAUUGCUAUUCGGAGUUGGCUUAUGGUUACAAUUGGAUCAAAAGGGAGGCAAAAAAAUCGAAAAUCAAGAUUUUUUGAUAACAUUUCAAUCUGGCCCUCCUGUUCAUUUCUCAACCAAUCACUUGGAAAGGGUAAUUAAAUACGAACAAUGAAAUCAAAGCACUGUGAAUGUUGCGGACUAAUUGACUGUUCAUUAGUCAAAGUCAGCAAAAUGCAAUUAUACUCAGGACCAUUAUUGGUAGGAUUAACAGGACUUUGGAUCCACAGAACAACCUACUGGGAACAGGCAAUUAACAACAUUUAGAGAGUGAAUUCCUAUUGAUUAAGCAUGGAGAGAAGACUAGUUUGGAAGAAAGGAAGAUACACCAUCUUGAAUUGGGGAAGGAUGCAAAGAAAAGAAAAGGGAUUAACAAGAUCGGACAAUUGUGGGACAACAUUUCAUGUAUGAUCCCAAAAGUUAUUCCAAAGAAGGAGACCAUUCAAAUGUUGAAUAACGGUGUUUAAUCCCAAUGAAGGGAGCUAGUAAAAGCAUGGUAUUCUGCAAAUUCUUCAAUUUUAAUUGAAAAGAUGAUCUUUCAAAGAUUGGAACAAUGUUGCAUUGGAAUAUUAACCAGUGUAUGUGAAAGAAUACAUCUUAAUCCUGAAUGUGAGGACAACUUUAUUUGAAUGAACAAUUAGAAAUUGCUUCUGGUCCUUUUUUUAAGACCAAGCAGUUGGGAAACUUACCAUGAAAACAUUCCGUUUGCACAGAAUCAAAACUUUAAGAUCGAGCCCGAUGUGAAUAACAACGAUUUUCUUACCAGAACCCCCCGGACUUUCCAACUUGGACGAAUUGGAGCCAUGUGACAUUUGGCCUUCCAUGUUAAAUUUGCACUACACAGCUGAUUGUGUUUAGAUUUUUAAUCUGAAUAUUAAAAAAUAAAAGUUCUAAUAUAAAAGAUGUGUCAUGUAAAACUUGUUUGUUUGACUAUGAUGAUAGGAUGAACCGUGCUUUCACCCAAAUACCCUACCUUUUUACCCUCACUAUUGCAAAUCUCUUUCAGAGAAAAUCAAUAAUUUAUUUUCAAGUGCAUAUGA